AAAGAUAGAUGUAGGAAAAGAAGAGAGAGAAAGAGAAAAAGAGGAGCAAAGAAAGAAAGAAAAAGAGGAACUGGCAGAGAUUCAGAAAAUUCGUGACUUGUUCCGGCAUUAUCCUUCAAAUCUUUCAAAAUCACCAUCCUCUCCUUCUCGAAAUUUGA
rnacentral:ribozyme from 13 species